rnacentral:rRNA from 1 species
UACAGAGGGGGCAAGCGUUGUUCGGAAUUACUGGGCGUAAAGGGCGCGUAGGCGGCCUUCUAAGUCGAACGUGAAAUCCCCGGGCUCAACCCGGGAACUGCGUCCGAUACUGGAAGGCUUGAAUCCGGGAGAGGGAUGUGGAAUUCCAGGUGUAGCGGUGAAAUGCGUAGAUAUCUGGAGGAACACCGGUGGCGAAGGCGCGUUUCUGGGCUGCAUCUGACGCUGAGGCGCGAAAGCUAGGGGAGCAAACAGG